GACCACGUUUGCACCACAUGUUUUGUUUUUGCAAAUUCUUUUUGUAAAUCCAUUUCAAAGAUCUUUUGCAAAUAGUCAAAGGUACAUGAAUAAGAGUUUGCAAAGCAUUUUCAAGAUUUGAAAUUGUCUCCCCCUAUUUUAAAUGCUUUUUCUUUGACUAAACAAAACUCCCCCUAAAAGAGAUCCACCUCUUAGUGUUCAAGAGGGUUUUGAUAUACCAUUUUUGAAAUACUACUUUCUCCCCCUUUUGAACACAAUAGGAUACCAAAUGAUGAAGACUUUUGGAAAGCACUAAGUUUUUUGAAUUUGGUGGUGGUGGUGCGGUCCUUUUGCUUUGGGCUCAUUUCUCCCCCUUUUUGGCAUGAAUCGCCAAAAACGGAAUCAUUAGAGCCCUCGAAGUGCAAUCUUCCCUUUGGUCAUAAAUAAGUGAGUUAAGAUUAUACCAAAGACGAAGUCCUUUUGCGUUUGAGCUUUUACUCUCUCCCCCAAGGAUGAAGUCCUUUUCCUUGAUGCUCAUUUCUCCCCCAAGGACGAGAGAGUUGCUCGGAGUGAUGGCGAAGCAUGAGUUACGGAGUGGAAGCCUUUGUCUUCGCUGAAGACUCCAAUUUCCUUUCAAUAUACCUAUGACUUGGUUUGAAAUCGACUUGAAAACACAUUAGUCAUAGCAUAUAAAGGAGAUAUGAUCAAAGGUAUUCAAAAGAGCUAUGUGUGCAAGCUUUAGCAAAAGAAAUUUCUAGAAUCAAGAAUAUUGAGCUCAUGCCUAAGUCUGGUAAAAGAUUGUUCAUCAAGUGGCUUGGUAAAGAUAUCGGCUAAUUGAUCUUUAGUAUUAAUGUAAGAAAUCUCGAUAUCCCCCUUUUGUUGGUGAUCCCUAAGAAAAUGAUACCGAAUGGCUAUGUGCUUAGUGCGGCUAUGCUCGACGGGAUUGUCGGCCAUUUUGAUUGCACUCUCAUUAUCACAUAGCAAAGGGACUUUGGUUAAUUUGUAACCGUAGUCCCGCAGGGUUUGCCUCAUCCAAAGCAAUUGCGCGCAACAAUGUCCUGCGGCAAUGUACUCGGCUUCGGCGGUGGAAAGAGCGACCGAAUUUUGCUUCUUUGAAGCCCAAGACACCAAGGAUCUUCCCAAGAACUGGCAAGUCCCCGAUGUGCUCUUCCUAUUGAUUUUGCACCCUGCCCAAUCGGCAUCCGAAUAACCAAUCAAAUCAAAUGUGGAUCCCCGAGGGUACCAAAGCCCAAACUUAGGUGUAUAAGCCAAAUAUCUCAAGAUUCGUUUUACGGCCGUAAGGUGUGAUUCCUUAGGGUCGGAUUGGAAUCUUGCACACAUGCAAACGGAAAGCAUAAUGUCCGGUCGAGAUGCACAUAAAUAAAGCAAUGAACCAAUCAUCGACCGGUAUACCUUUUGAUCCACGGACUUACCUCCCGUGUCGAGGUCGAGAUGCCCAUUAGUUCCCAUGGGUGUCUUGAUGGGUUUGGCAUCCCUCAUCCCAAACUUAGCAAGAAUGUCUUGAGUGUACUUCGUUUGGCUAAUGAAGGUGCCCUCUUGGAGUUGCUUGACUUGGAAUCCUAGAAAAUACUUCAACUCCCCCAUCAUCGACAUCUCGAAUUUCUGUGUCAUGAUCCUACUAAACUCUUCACAUGUAGACUCGUUAGUAGACCCAAAUAUAAUAUCAUCAACAUAAAUUUGGCAUACAAACAAGUCAUUUUCAAGAGUUUUAGUAAAGAGUGUAGGAUCGGCCUUGCCGACUUUGAAGCCAUUAGCAAUAAGGAAAUCUCUAAGGCAUUCAUACCAUGCUCUUGGGGCUUGCUUGAGCCCAUAAAGCGCCUUAGAGAGCCUAUAGACAUGAUUAGGAUACUCACUGUCUUCAAAGCCGGGAGGUUGCUCAACAUAGACCUCUUCCUUGAUUGGUCCAUUGAGGAAGGCACUUUUCACGUCCAUUUGAUAGAGCUUAAAGCCAUGGUAAGUAGCAUAGGCCAAUAAUAUGCGAAUUGACUCAAGCCUAGCUACGGGUGCAUAGGUUUCACCAAAAUCCAAACCUUCGACUUGUGAAUACCCUUUGGCCACAAGUCGAGCUUUGUUCCUUGUCACCACACCAUGCUCAUCUUGCUUGUUGCGGAAGACCCAUUUGGUUCCUACAACAUUUUGGUUAGGACGUGGAACUAAAUGCCAUACCUCAUUCCUCGUGAAAUUGUUGAGCUCCUCUUGCAUUGCCACCACCCAAUCCGAAUCUUGGAGAGCUUCCUCUACCCUGUGUGGCUCAAUAGAGGAAACAAAAGAGUAAUGUUCACAAAAAUGAGCAACCCGAGAUCGAGUAGUUACCCCCUUAUGAAUGUCGCCGAGGAUGGUGUCGACGGGGUGAUCUCGUUGGAUUGCUUGGUGGACUCUUGGGUGUGGCGGUCUUGGUUCUUCCUCAUCCUCCUUUUCUUGAUCAUUUGUAUCUCCCCCUUGAUCAUUGCUAUCAUCUUGAGGUGGCUCGUCUUCUUGAUUUUGCUCUUCAUCAUUUUGAGCCUCAUCCUCAUUUUGAGUUGGUGGAGAUGCUUGCAUGGAGGAGGAUGGUUGAUCUUGUGUACUUGGAGGCUCUUCGGAUUCCCUAGGACACACAUCCCCAAUGGACAUGUUCCUAAGCGCUAUGCAUGGAGCCUGUUCUUCACCUACUUCAUCAAGAUCAACUUGCUCUACUUGAGAGCCGUUAGUUUCAUCAAACACAACGUCACAUGAGACUUCAACUAGUCCAGUGGACUUGUUAAAGACCCUAUAUGCCCUUGUGUUUGAGUCAUAACCAAGUAAAAAGCCUUCUACAGUUUUAGGAGCAAAUUUAGAUUUUCUACCUCUUUUAAUAAGAAUGAAGCAUUUGCUACCAAAAACUCUAAAAUAUGAAAUGUUGGGCUUUUUACCGGUUAGGAGUUCAUAUGAUGUCUUCUUGAGGAUUCGGUGAAGAUAUAACCGGUUGAUGGCGUAGCAGGCGGUGUUGACCGCUUCGGCCCAAAACCGGUCCGGUGUCUUGUACUCAUCAAGCAUGGUUCUUGCCAUGUCCAAUAGAGUUCGAUUCUUCCUCUCUACUACACCGUUUUGUUGUGGCGUGUAGGGAGAAGAGAACUCAUGCUUGAUGCCCUCCUCCUCAAGGAAGCUUUCAAUUUGAGAGUUCUUGAACUCCGUCCCAUUGUCGCUUCUUAUUUUCUUGAUCCUUAAGCCGAACUCAUUUUGAGCUCGUCUCAAGAAUCCCUUUAAUGUCUCUUGGGUUUGAGAUUUUUCCUGUAAAAAGAAUACCCAAGUGAAGCGAGAAUAAUCAUCCACAAUAACUAGACAGUACUUACUCCCGCCGAUGCUUAUGUAAGCGAUCGGGCCGAAUAUAUCCAUGUGUAGGAGCUCCAGUGGCCUGUCAGUCGUCAUUAUGUUCUUGUGUGGAUGAUGAGUGCCAACUUGCUUCCCUGCUUGGCAUGCGCUACAAAUCCUGUCUUUCUCAAAAUGAACAUUGGUUAGUCCUAAAAUGUGCUCUCCCUUUAGAAGCUUAUGAAGAUUCUUCAUCCCAACAUGGGCUAGUCGGCGAUGCCAGAGCCAACCCAUGUUAGUCUUAGCAAUUAAACAUGUGUCGAGCUCAGCUCUAUCAAAAUCUACUAAGUAUAGCUGACCCUCUAACACACCCUUAAAUGCUAUUGAAUCAUCACUUCUUCUAAAGACAGUGACACCAAUAUCAGUAAAAAGACAGUUGUAGCCCAUUUUACAUAAUUGGGAUACAGAAAGCAAAUUGUAAUCUAAAGAAUCAACGAGAAAAACAUUGGAAAUAGAAUGGUCAGGAGAUAUAGCAAUUUUACCCAAGCAUUUGACCAAACCUUGAUUUCCAUCCCCGAAUGUGAUAGCUCGUUGGGGAUCUUGGUUUUUCUCAUAUGAGGAGAACAUUCUUUUCUCCCCGGUCAUAUGGUUUGUGCACCCACUGUCGAGUAUCCAACUUGAGCCCCCGGAUGCAUAAACCUACAAAACAAGUUUAGUUCUUUGUUUUAGGUACCCAAACGGUUUUGGGUCCUUUGGCAUUAGAAAUGAGAACUUUGGGUACCCAAACACAAGUCUUGGAGCCCUUGUGCUUGCCCCCAACAAAUUUGGCAACUACCUUGCCGGAUUUGCUAGUAAGUACAUAAGAUGCAUCAAAAGUUUUAAAUGAAAUGGCAUGAUCAUUUGAUGCAUUAGGAGUUUUCUUUCUAGGCAACUUGGCACGGGUUGGUUGCCUAGAGCUAGAUGUCUCACCCUUAUACAUAAAAGCAUGGUUAGGGCCAGAGUGAGACUUCCUAGAGUGAAUUCUCCUAAUUUUGCUCUCGGGAUAACCGGCAGGGUACAAAAUGUAACCCUCGUUAUCCUGAGGCAUGGGAGCCUUGCCCUUAACAAAGUUAGACAAAUUUUUAGGUGGGGCAUUAAGUUUGACAUUGUCUCCCCUUUGGAAGCCAAUGCCAUCCUUGAUGCCAGGACGUCUCCCAUUAUAGAGCAUGCUUCUAGCCAAUUUAAAUUUUUCAUUUUCUAAGUCAUGCUCUCUAAUCUUAGCAUUUAGUUGAGCUAUGUGAUCAUUUUGUUUAUUAAUUAAGGCUAGGUGAUCAUGGAUAGCAUCAACAUUAAUAUCUCUACAUCUAGUACAAAUGGAAAUAUGCUCAACAUUAGAUGUAGAGGGUUUGCAAGAUUUUAGUUCAACAACCUUAGCAUGCAACAUAUCAUUUUUAGUUCUAAGGUCGGAAAUAGUAGCAUUGCAAACAUCAAAAUCCUUAGCCUUAGCAAUUAGUUUCUCAUUCUCAUUUCUAAGGCUAGCAAUGGAAACAUUUAACUCAUCAAUCCUAGCAAGUAAAUCAACAUUAUCAUUUCUAGGAUCAAUGCAAACAUGAGAAUCUACCUUAGCAAUUAAUUUAGCAUUUUCACUUCUAAGGUUGGUAAUAGUGUCAUGGCACAUGCUUAGCUCACUAGAUAAUUUGUUACAUUUUUCUACUUCUAGAGCAUAAGCAUUUUUAACCUUAACAUGUUUCUUAUUUUCCUUGAUUAGGAAGUCCUCUUGGGAGUCCAAGAGAUCAUCCUUUUCAUGGAUGGCACUAAUUAGUUCAUUUAAUUUUUCCUUUUGUUCCAUGUUAAGGUUAGCAAAAAGAAUGCGCAAGUUAUCCUCCUCAUUUUUAUCAUCAUCCUCAUCACUAGAUGUUUCAUAUUUAGUGGAGGACCUUGAUUUUACCUUCUUUUUGCCGUCCUUGGCCAUGAGACACUUGUGGCCGCCGUUGGGGAAGAGAAGGCCUUUGGUGAUGGCGAUGUUGGCGGCGUCCUCGUCGUCGGAGGAGUCGCUUGAGCUUUCGUCGGAGUCCCACUCCCGACAAACAUGGGCAUCGCCGCCCUUCUUCUUGUAAUACUUCUUCUUCUCCUUUCUUCUUCCCUUCUUGUCGUCGCCCCUGUCACUGUCACUAGACAUAGGACAUUUUGCAAUAAAGUGACCGGGCUUACCACACUUGUAGCAAACCUUCUUGGAACGGGGUUUGUAGUCCUUCCCCUUCCGUUGCUUGAGGAUUUGCCUAAAGCUUUUGAUGAUUAGGGCCAUCUCCUCAUUGUCGAGCUUGGAGGCGUCAAUUGGUUGUCUACUUGGUGUAGACUCUUCCUUCUUCUCCUCCGUUGCCUUAAAGGCCACCGGUUGCACCUCGGAGGUGGAAGGCUCGUCAAGCUCGUUGAUCUUCUUGGAGCCCUUAAUCAUGCAUUCAAAACUCACAAAAUUCCCGAUAACUUCCUCGGGGGUCAUUAGUGGAUAUCUAGGAUUCCCACGAAUUAAUUGUACUUGAGUGGGGUUAAGGAAAAUAAGAGCUCUUAGAAUAACCUUAACCACUUCGUGGUCAUCCCAUUUUGUGCUCCCGAGGUUGCGUACUUGGUUCACCAAGGUCUUGAGCCGGUUGUACAUGUCUUGUGGCUCCUCCCCUUGGCGAAGACGGAAGCGACCGAGCUCCCCCUCGAUCGUUUCCCGCUUGGUGAUCUUGGUGAGUUCAUCACCCUCGUGCGCCGUCUUGAGUAGGUCCCAAAUCUCCUUGGCGUUCUUCAAUCCUUGUACUUUGUUGUAUUCCUCCUUGCUUAGGGAGGCAAGGAGGAUGGUUGCGGCUUGGGAGUUGAAGUGCUCGAUUUGGGCCACUUCGUCCGUGUCAUAGUCCUCAUCCCCUAUUGAUGGUACCUGUACACCAUACUCAACAACAUCCCAUAUACUCUUGUGGAGAGAGGUUAGAUGAAAUCGCAUUAAAUUACUCCACAUAGCAUAAUCUUCACCAUUAAAAGUUGGUGGUUUACCUAAUGGGACGGAAAGUAGAGGUGUAUGUUUAGGAACACGAGGAUAGCGUAGGGGAAUCUUACUAUACUUCUUACGCUCUUGGCGUUUAGAAGUGACGGACGCCGCGUCGGAGCCGGAGGUAGAUGUCGAUGAAGUAUCGGUCUCGUAGUAGACCACCUUCCUCAUCCUCUUGUGCUUGUCCCCACUCCGAUGUGGUUUGUGAGAAGAAGAUUUUUCCUUCUUCUCCUUGUGGUGAGAAGAGGAAGAUCUUUUCUCCUUCCGCUUGGAGGAGUUCUUCUUCUCCCUUUUCUUGGUGCGGGACUCUUCCGAUGAGGUGCUCCCUUGGCUUGUAGUGGGCUUGUCGCCGGUCUCCAUCUCCUUCUUGGCGUGAUCUCCCGACAUCACUUCGAGCGGUUAGGCUCUAAUGAAGCACCGGGCUCUGAUACCAAUUGAUAGUCGCCUAGAGGGGGGGUGAAUAGGGCGAAACUGAAAUUUACAAAUAUAAACACAACUACAAGCCGGGGUUAGCGUUAGUAAUAAUAAAUGAGUCCGCAAGAGAGGACGCAAAACAAAUCGCAAGCAAAUAAAGAGAGUGACACGUGGAUUUGUUUUACCGAGGUUCGGUUCUUGCAAACCUACUCCCCGUUGAGGAGGCCACAAAGGCUGGGUCUCUUUCAACCCUUCCCUCUCUCAAACGGUCCCUCGGACCGAGUGAGCUUUCCUUCUUCUCAAUCAACCGGGAACAAAACCUCCCCGCAAGGGCCACCACACAAUCGGUGCCUCUUGCCUCGGUUACAAUUGAGUGUUGAUCACAAGAGCAAAAGAGAAAGAAAGAAUGCGAUCCAAGCGCAAGAGCUCAAAAAACACGGCAAAUCUCUCUCGCUAGUCACUAAAGGCUUGAGUGGAAUUGGAGAGGAUUUGAUCUCUUUGUAUGUGUCUAGAAUUGAAUGCCUAGCUCUUGUAAGUGGUUGAGAAGUGGGAAAACUUGGAUGGCAAUGAAUGUGGAGUGGUUGGGGUAUUUAUAGCCCCAACCACCAAAUGUGGCCGUUGCUGGGAGCUCUCUGUUCGAUGGCGCACCGGACAGUCCGGUGCACACCGGACAGUCCGGUGCCCCCUGCCACGUCAUCGUUGCCGUUGGAUUCUGACCGUUGGAGCUCUGACAUGUGGGCCUGCCGAGGUGUCCGGUGCACACCGGACAUGCACUGUUUGAUGUCCGGUGCACCGGUAUGGGCGCGCCUGCCGACUGCGCGCGCAGAGCGCGCAUUAAAUGCGCUAGCAGGUGACCGUUGUCGCGGAAGUAGCCGUUGCUCCGUGGUUCACCGGACAGUCCGGUGCACACCGGACAGUCCGGUGAAUUAUAGCGGAGCGGCUGCCGCGCGAACCCGAGGCUGGCGAGUUCCGGAGGCCGCGGUUCCUUGGAGCACCGGACAUGUCCGGUGCACACCGGACAGUCCGGUGAAUUAUAGCGCGCCGGCUUCCGAGAAUUCCCGAAGGCGAAGAGUUUGGGUCUAAGUCCCCUGGUGCACCGGACAGGUACUGUUCACUGUCCGGUGGCACACCGGACAGUCCGGUGCGCCAGACCAGGGGUGCCCUCGGUUCCCCCUUUGCUCCUUUAUUGAAUCCAAAACUUGGUCUUUUUAUUGGCUGAGUGUGAACCUUUUGCACCUGUAUAACUUAUACACUAGAGCAAACUAGUCAGUCCAAUAUUUGUGUUGGACAAUUCAACCACCAAAAUUAUUUAGGAACUAGGUGUAAGCCUAAUUCCCUUUCACUUGGCAAAAGAGCUUCGGUGGACAGACAAGGUCUUGAUGAUCCUUCUUAUGAAAAAACUGGCAAAAAAGCUAGAAAUAUAGGGGACAAGUCUGUUAAGGAAGAGAUGAGGCUCGAAAAUAUUGGUGAUAUGAUGUCUCAAGGCAAAUCUUCUGGUCGGGGAUCUGACUUGGGUGAUAACAAUGAAGACCUGAAUCCUGUGACUGAAGAUAAAGGUUAUGAUAAUAACCCUAUAAAUGAAGAUGAGGAGUUCCAUAAGAGUGAAGAUGACCUUCUGAGUGAGAUUUGGAGGAAUUUGCCAAAGAUGAGGAGGUGGUUUUACCUCCACCCCAAGAAAAAAUCAGCAAGUCCUUAGUGGGUGCUCAAGUUGAAGGCUCUGGAAAAACUGAAGCUGAAAAACAAGUUAUAAAUAUGGAAGUGAAUCAUGGUGAAGGCAUUAGGAGGAGCAGCAGACUUGAAUCCAAUGAUGACAUGAAGAUUGCUGACAAAGCUGCGACAAGAGCUAUGGCUAAAGAUGCUUUCAUGAACAAAGGUAUGAAUUCAAAUCCUUUUUCUGUUCUUAAUACUGAAAAUUCUGUGCUUAUGUCGAUUGCUUCAGAAUUAGGAAUAGUUUUAGGUAAUUCUUCUACUGAUUCUAUGGUAAAUUUGGAAUUGAUCAAGUCUUUAGAGUUAUCCAGGAAUAGUCUUGCCAUUCAAUCUGUCAAAAAAUCUGUAGAGCAUAAUCUCCAAGCUGGUUCUGACUCUGAAAUGGAUAAAUCUAUCCAAAAUGAGGAUGGCAACAAUGAGUUGACUGACUUGGAUGAUGUUAUGGUCCUGAGAAAAGGCAGGAAAAUUCGUUAUAAAAAAAAUCAGUCAAGAAGAAGAAAAAAAGGUCUUUCCCCAAAAUUAGGUAUUCACCUAAUAAAGGGAAAGGGAUCCCCUCUGACUUCAAACUCAAUUAUUCAGAAUGAUUGGUCUUAUUUGGAAUUGUCAGGGGUUAGGAAAAGAGGUAAAAAUUGAAUUCUUAAAGGAAUUGAUUAGAAAAGAAAGAAUUGAUUUUAUUGGUUUACAAGAAACUAAUAAAAAUCCUUUGAGGAUUCUUGGCUGAACUCUAUUAGUGGUAAUAGAAAUUUUGCCUGGUUUUGGACGCCUGCAAAUGGUAGAUCUGGUGGCCUUCUUGUAGGUUUUAAUGCAGAUGCUUUUGAUGUUAGAGAAACUGAAAUGGGUGAUUUCAUGAUAAAAGUUCUUUUGGUUCAUAAAGAAAAUGGUUUCAUUUGGAAUUUUAUUAAUGUUUAUGGUGCUGUUCAAAAAUUCCUUAUUGAGUUGUCGUCUUUCUGUUCCAAAUGUAAAUAUCCCAUAUUGGUUGGCGGUGAUUUUAAUAUUCUAAGGAAAGAGUCUGAUAAAAACAAGCCUGGGGAACUAACAGUUGGAGUUCCCUGUUUAAUUCUAUCAUUGAUAUUCAUAGUCUGAUUGAACUUGAUUUGAGUGGUAGAUUAUAUACAUGGUCCAACAACAGAGAUCCUCCCACCUUUGAAAAAUUGGAUAGAUUUCUGGCUAGUCCAGAGUGGGUCCUUCAAUUAAAAAAUAUGUCGGUUACUGGUCUUAACAGGACUUUCUCUGAUCAUGUUCCUUUGUGCCUCAAAAUUGAUUCUCUUUCCAUCUUGAUAUGAGAUUUUAGAUAUGAGCUUUGCUGGAAGCUUAGACUGGAUUUCAAAGAUCUUGUCUGGAAUAAUUGGUCUCUUCCGGUCAGAAGUCGAUCAAGUAUCGAUAUUUGGAAAGAGAAAAAUAAGAGAUUGAAAAAAACGUUGAAAGGGUGGAACAUCAAUGUGGAAGGAAGAUAUUCUAGACUUAAAAAAGAUUUAUUGCAAAAAUUGAUAGCUUAGAUAAAAAAGUGAAAGUACUGGUAUUUCGGUCUCGGAAAGACUUGAAAAGCUUGAUAUGGAAUGUAAUUUAAAAAAUAUGAUGGCUGAAGAAGGUUGUAAGAGAAAGCAAAUGGCGAGAGAAAAAUUUAUUAAUGAGGGUGAUGAGAAUUCUAGGUACUUUCAUCUUAUUGCCAAAGGGAAAAGAAGAGUUAAAAUCCUCUCCUUAGUUCAUGAGGAGGACACAGUCGUUGAUGACAAUGGUAUUAAUAGAGUUGCUACUGCUUUCUAUAAAGAUCUUUUUGGUCCUUCUGUUCCUUCUAGUAUAAAUAUGUCGAAUUUACAUAUGAAUAAAUUAAAUGAUGAGGAUCGAGCUUUGCUCACUGGACCUUUUUCUAUUGAGGAAAUUAAGAAGGUUGUGUUUGGUCUAAAGCACAAUAGCGCCCCUGGUCCUGAUGGUUUUCCAGCAGAAUUUUUUCAAGAUUUUUGGGAUCUCAUUCACAUUGAUCUGUGGAAUUUAUUCAAGGAUUUUUAUGGAGGGGUGCUUGAUAUUAAAAGACUUAACUUUGGGUUAGUGACUCUUUUACCUAAAGUGGAUAACCCUGUCGACAUGAGGAAUUUCAGACCUAUCUGUCUCUUGAAUGUCUGUUAUAAGAUCAUUACCAAAGUUCUGACUAAUAGACUUUCUACUUGCAUUACUAAAGUGAUUAGUGAGUAUCAAUAUGACUUUAUUAAAGGGAGGUACAUUAUGGAUAGUGUGGUUUCCCUUAAUGAAAUUCUUCACGAAGUAAGACAGAAAAAACAAAGUGGUGUGGUUCUUAAAAUUGACUUUGAAAAAGCGUAUGAUAAAGUUAAUUGGCAAUUUCUUCAUUAUAUGAUGGAAAAUAAAGGUUUUGGGGAUAUAUGGUGUGAUUGGGUUAUGAGAACUGUCAGAGGUGGUAAAGUUGCCAUCAAAACUAAUGAUGUUGUUGGUCGGUUGGCCCCGGUCUCAAAAAAAGGGUGGGCCAUAUCUCCUCUCAGCUUGGGAUGGCACGGGAAAUUAUGCACAAGUUGCAGUCUGCUCAAGAUAUCAGACCCUUGUCAGUGCUAGAAAAUUGGCCGUUGAAGCAGCUUGAUGGUCAUGUUGUGGCCCUUUCAACCUUGCAACGUUCUAUGGCUCGGAGCCGCUCUAGGAUUACCUGGUUGGCUAAGGGGGAUGCUAACACUGCCUUCUUCCACCUCCACGCUAAAUACCGCAAAGGCAAGAAUUUUAUUGGUAAUCUGUUAUCCGACGAUGGUUUAAUAAAGUCAAGGCAUGAGGACAAGGAGGAAACUAUAAGUGAUUUUUUCCACAAUUCGCUGGGUUGUUCGUCUGAUCGAGCUCAUACUAUUGAUUUGGAUCAUCUCCAAAUUCCUUCUCAUGAUCUCUCUUCGCUGGACAGCCCCUUCACGGAAGAUGAAGUCUGAAAAACAGUCCUUUCUCUACCUUCAAACAAGGCUCCUGGCCCGAAUGGUUUUACUGGGAAAUUUUAUAAGUCGUGCUGGCAUAUUAUUAAAGGAGAUAUUAUGGCAGCUGCUAUGGCUGUUUGGAACAGAAAUCGGGGAAAUCUGGAACUUCUCAAUUCAGCAUACAUCAUUCUUCUACCCAAAAAAAGAUGAUGUAUGUCAUGUCAAAGAUUUUCGGCCUAUAAGCUUGGUCCACUCAUUUGCUAAGCUUAUUACAAAGCUUUUGGCAAAUAGGCUGGCCCAAUCCCUGGAUAAUAUGGGUUCGCAGAAUCAAAGUGCUUUUAUUAAAGGCAGAUCCAUUCUGGAUAAUUUCAUGCUUGUGCAAAAGACAGCGAAGUUAUUUCACCAGAAAAAGUGUGCAAGGAUCCUCCUUAAGUUGGAUAUCACCAAAGCUUUUGACUCUGUCUCGUGGCCCUUCCUCCUGGAGGUCUUAAAGCAUUUGGGUUUCGGGCAAAUUUGGUGCGAUAUUGUUAGCAUUCUUCUUGCUUCUGCCUCUUCCCAAGUAAUGCUUAAUGGUAAACCAUGUAGGAGAAUUAUUCAUAGACGUGGUCUUUGGCAGGGGGACCCUCUCUCCCCAAUGUUGUUCAUACUGGUUAUGGAUGUGCUAGGCUAUUUAAUUAAGGAGGCUGCUAAUGAUGGUUUGAUGGUGCCUCUGAUAGAAAAUUCAGUUCAUAACCGUAUUUCUAUUUAUGCUGAUGAUGUGGUGAUUUUCCUCCACCCGGUGGCUCUUGAUUUAGUAAUCACCAUGGACAUUAUCAGGAUUUUUGGGGAGGCAGCUGGGCUCAAAGUGAAUAUGGCAAAGAGCAGCGUUUUCCCCAUCCACUGUACUGCUGAAAAUCUGGAUACCAUUCAUAAUCUGCUGCCAUGCGUUGUUGCCAACUUCCCCUGCAAAUAUUUGGGGGUGCCUCUAUCCUUAAAGAAGCUCGACAGACAGCACUUACAGCCAUUCAUUGAUAAAAUUGCACAUCGUCUUCCCUGCUGGAAAGCUGAUCUGUUGACUAGAGUUGGAAGACUGAUUAUUGUCCAGAUUGUCCUGUCUUCAAUGAAUAUCUACUUAAUGAUGGCCAUGGACCUUCCUUCUUGGGUUUUCAAAGCAAUUGACAAGAUCAGAAGGAAUUUCCUGUGGAGAGGGAGAAAAGAAGCUUUGGGAGGACACUACUUGGUAGCUUGGAACAAGGUUACUAGGCCUAAAGAAUUUGGAGGAUUGGGUAUCUUAAACCUGCGUUUGAUGAAUUGGGCUCUUAGAUUACGCUGGCUCUGGCUGAAAAAAACUGAUACUGGCAGACCUUGGGCAUCCUUUAAAAUAAAUGUUCAUCCUUCAGUUAAGGCCUUUUUCUCGGCAGCAAUCUCUUCGGUGGUGGGCAACGGUAAAAACACUUUGUUUUGGACAGAUAAUUGGAUCGAUGGCCAAAGUCUAUGUCAGCUGGCCCCUCAUUUGGUCCAGAUGGUCUCUUCUAGGGCUAAAAUGAGGAAUGUCCAUGAUGCCCUCAUUUCAAGGAGCUGGGUCCAUGAUAUUAGAGGAGUUAUCACUGUAAAUGUUUUGUCUGACUUCCUCAGGGUUUGGGACCUCACUACAGACUGGGUCUUAACACCAGAUCAGGAUGAUAAGCAUAGCUGGAGGCUUUCAAGCUCAGGUUUAUAUUCGGCCAAAUCGGCAUAUACCAGUUUCUUUCUUGGAGCAACAACUUUUAAACCUUGGGAAAGGAUUUGGAAAUCAUGGGCUCCUAAUAAAUGCAAGUUCUUCAUGUGGCUCGUGGCCCACGAUCGCUGCUGGACAGCAGAUCGACUAGCAAAAAGAGGACUGCCUCACCCUCAAUUUUGUACACUAUGUGAUCAAGAGGAGGAAACGAUAAACCACUUGCUGGUUUCCUGCGUUUUCUCUCGGGCUGUCUGGUUUCAGAUGAUGAAAUCUGUUGGGUUGCAGCACCUUGCUCCUAACCCUGCGUGAUCCUCCUUUGAAGAUUGGUGGGAAGGGGUUGCUACAUUUUCUGCUGGUCUAGCAAACACAGGGCUGCACAAGGGCUUGAAUUCUUUGAUCAUUAUUGGUGCUUGGGCCAUCUGGAAUCACCGCAAUAGCUGUGUUUUUAAUGGUGUGCAGCCUAGUCAAAGCAUGGUCAUCAAUUGGGUCAAGGAGGAGGCUCAUCUCUGGUAUAGGGCUGGAGCCAGGGAUUUAUCUAACAUCCUUAUGAUCCAGUAAUUUCAGUGGGUAAUCUUUAGUUUGAGUCUCCAUGGUCACGGGUCUAGAUGUCUUUUGUUGUUGUUGAUGUUAAUUUUCUCCUUCUCCCUAAAGCCUAGUGUUUGUGGGUUCGUGUGGAGUUGUACGAGGUUUCCUUGCCUCACCCUUUCUUCUUAAUAUAUUGAUACGCAGCUCUCCUGCGUUUUUGAGAAAAAAAAUGUUGUUGGCCCCUAUUUUUUUACUCAUAAAGGCGUUAGACAGGGUGAUCCUUUCUCGCCCCUUUUGUUCAAUCUUGUUGCAGAUGGCUUGGCUUGUAUUAUUCAGAAAGCUCAAGAAAGAGGUCUGAUCCGUGGUCUAAUUCCCCAUAUUAUUCAAAAUGGUUGUUGUUGUCUUCGAUAUGCUGAUGAUACUAUCUUCUUAAUUCAAGAUUGUUUGGAAGGUGCUAGAAAUCUUAAAUAUAUUCUUUGUCUUUUUGAGCACAUGUCUGGUUUGAAAAUUAAUUUUCACAAAAGUGAAAUUUUCUGCUUAGGGGAUGCUAAUGAGUUUGAAAAUGUGUAUGCUGAUAUUUUUACUUGUCCUGUGGGGCAUCUUCCGAUGAAAUAUCUUGGUGUUCCAAUUGAUAACAAGAAAAUCAGUAAAUCGCUUUGGUGUCCUAUGAUGGAAAAGAUGGAUAAAAGGCUUGCUAGUUGGCAAGGAAGAUUUUUAAGCCUGGGGGGAGAUUGACGUUAUUAAAUAGCUGUCUUUCUAAUGUUCCUCUGUACAUGUUAUCGAUUUAUCCGGCUCGUAAGUCCAUUAUUAGGAAACUGGAUUUGUACAGGAAGAGACUUUUAUGGCAAGGAGGUUCACAAGCAAGAAAAAUUCAUCUGGUUAACUGGAAUUCUGUCUGCACACCUAAAAAUCAAGGUGGCUUAGGGGUUUUGAAUCUGGAGUAUAUGAAUGAUGCCUUGUUGACGAAAUGGCUUUGGAAUAUUGAAAAUUCAAAUGAUUUAUGGCAAAAGAUUAUUACAAAAAAAUAUAUUAAGGGAAAACCUCUUAUCUCAGUUAAGCAAAGACAGAAUGACUCUCAGUUUUGGAAAAAACUUCUAAGUCUCAGAGAAGUUUUCUUUAAAUAUUGUAAAGUUGUUGUUGGUAAUGGUUGUAAAACUAGUUUCUGGAAGAAUACUUGGAUUGGUGAUUGUCCUUUGGCAGUUAAAUUCCCUGUUCUGUUUGACUUGGCUUUUGAUAAGGACAUUUCGGUUAAUAAGGUCUUGACCUCAAAUUUUGAUGUUCUUUCCUUCAGAAGAAGAAUGAUGGGUAAUCUUCAAGUGUUUUAUGGUGAAUUAGUUGAUUUGUGUGCUCAUCAUAAUCUAUCAGGUCAAGAGGACAGAGUGAGUUGGUGUAUUGGUAACAAAGGUUUCACUGUUAAUUCUUUAUAUAAGAAAAAUUCGAUUGAUCAGGUGCCUGUUCCUCACAGGUUCUUGUGGAAAUCUAAGUUACCACAAAAAAUCAAAGUCUUCAUCUGGCUGGUGGUAAGAAAUAAAAUUCUUACAAAAGAUAAUCUGAAAAAAAGAAAUUGGCAUGGUUCUAGUGAAUGCUGUUUUUGUGGGGGUCUUGAAUCGAUUGAACAUUUGUUCUUUAAAUGUUCCAUUGCUAGAUUUGUGUGGAGAGUGAUUCAAAUUGCCUUAAAUCUUGAUUUCAUUCCAAAAAGCAUUGGGGAGUUAUGUGACAGAUGGUUGAACAAAUCUAAAGACAGAAUCUCCAAUUUAAUGAUAUUUGGUUGUGGAGCUGUUUUUAGGCUAUUUGGAGAACCAGAAAUGAUUGGUUUUUUGGUGAUAAAAUUCUCCUUGAUCCUGCUAACAUAAUAUUUCUCUGUUGCUUUUGGUUGGAUUCUUGGGCUAUUCGUCAGAGAGAGAAGGAAAAAAAGAUGGUGGUCCAAGGAAGUCGGCUAAUCAGAAAGAUAGUAAGUGAAGUGAUGUGUCGGUCGUUUGGGUGGUGUCCGAGAGAUCGCCACAUUUCUGGAUGAAGGGUGAUUUUGGCUCAUUUCUGUGGUUGGCUAUCGCUCAAACUCUGGGUUGUCCCUUUGGUGAAAGUGUUUAAACUGGCUUGUUAGCUUCGUAGCUGCGCUUUUAUUUUCAGUCGAUGUAAUAAGCUUUGCUUAAAAACUCUGGUUGCGUCUGGAUAGAUUUUAGUGGUUGCUGGUCCUUUUUUUUUCGAAAACGCAGGAGAGCUGUGUAUCAUUAUAUUAAGAGGAAAAAAGGUGAGGAUAAGAAAACCUCAUACAAGCCAAACUAACCCACACACCCACACACACUCAAGGAUAGCUAGAAGUACAAUGAAAUUAAAUUAUGACCAACUGCCCUCAUGACCAAGAAAGAAGGACGCCGAUUAGUGCGUUGGAGCGGAAAGGAUGCUAUCUAAUCCACUGGCUCCAGCCCUACACCAAUUGUGAGACUGGUCCUUGCUGGUCCUUGCUUGUCUAGUUUGAUAAUGUGAGGGUGCUAGCAUCACUAGGUGCUCUUUUGUCGAUGGGUUGUAGCUCAUCGUUUUGUAUGUAAUGACUCUUAUCCUAUUUCUUAAUGAAAUAGGGGGCUCUCCCCUUCGUAAAAAAAUGGUUUACUAAACGACCACAAGUGGAUCCUAGCAAGCAACCUAAAAAAAUGAUGCUUACAAGGACAGAGAGGAACUGAAGGUCUAAUAUCUAUUGCAUGAGUAUUGAGCACUGAAACAUAAGAUCAUCUGAGCCAAGCUUCAAAACCAGUUUGAAAUGCAGCAAAUGAUGCUGUGGAUGAUUACCUCCGAUGGGUUUAAGAGGGCCUGCGUGUGGAACAUCCACACUUGGCAAGGAAGAACCAGCUGGAGAAUGAUCUGGAGGUGCUGCACCAGAAGCCUGUGGAUAAAAUGGUAUCAGAAAUACUCGAUAUAAAUGAAAAUAUAGAAAGAGUGCUAGGAGAAAAAUGAAACCAUGCAUAUUGGGCUCCCACUCAUAUUACUGUAGUACUUGAUGUUUGGCAAAAAAAAGAAGAAGGAAUUCACUCGAUUACAGACAUUGAGGAAAGGCAACUCGAUGCUUGUACUAUGAAGUUUUGAUAAACAUAUCAAAUAUCUACAAUAUUCUGAUAUACCAGGCUCCGACAGUUCCUAAGAGUAUAUACCAAACAAGCUAAUUCACUUAUCAUAGAAAAAAACAUAUAGGAGACAAAUCAAGGUGAUAUUGAUACUACUCACAUCCUCAAAUAGCGGAUAAUCGCAUAAGAAUCGCUACACACAGAAGUCACAAUUAACCACCUCUCACAAUUAACCACCCACACGUGAAAUGACAGGAAUCAUGAACUUACAACAAAAUAUAGGAUCUCUGCAAUAACCUAAUGCCAUAAACACACGAAGUCUCCGCGAAUUCCACGCAUCCGUAGUCCUAAAAGCACAUGAUCACUAGCGCCGACAUCUCAUUGCUAUGAUGUACUGUGCUGGACUGAUGGCUGUUUCGUGUUCUCUAGAAAUCUUAACUAUGCGGUUGUGGAGCAGCAAGCGCAGCAUCAUGUAUGUCACAGUCUCACGGACUGACCACGUAAGAACGCAAACAAGAUACUAUAAGCCUGACCAUUCGAAAACCAAACAGCAUUGCAGAUGAGUUGCAGCUAAAGGCAAGUGAACAUACCCUCCACAAGGCAACGGCAGCGAGGUCCUUCUCCAGCUUCUGCUUGAGCAUCGCGUUGUACUCCACGGGGUCAACAACCGAGCUCGAGGCAGCCGCCGGCGCCGCGGCCCCCGGUGUCUUGCUCUCCGCAGCCUCAACUCCAGCUCCAACGCUGCCCCUACUGGCGCCGGCUACGGGAACCGGGCUGUCGAGCACGGCCUCCUCCAGGAACUUCUGGAAGUACCAUUCCGACGGGCACCGGUUCAUCAGCCCCGCCGCCUCCCCCGCUGGUGCAGCAACAGCGCCGGCGGCCGCCGAUUGAGGGUGCGGCGGAACCCAGUAGGGGUUGGGGAUCUCCUCCACGGAGAAGACGCGCUCCAUGCCGGAUCGAGACGGAUCGCGACACUGUUGAGGAGAAGUCUCCGGGGGGCUAGGUGUCGGAGAUUUCGAGGAUUUGAUCUGAAAUUUGGGAGAAAUUUCUCUGGCCGCACUUGGUUUGGUGGAAGAGAAGAGAAAAAAUGGAAGGGAAGAGAGGAAGAAGAGAAGAUGAGGUGUGCACGACUGCACGGUGGCUGCAAUAAAUAAUAAUAAAGUCGGCACGGACGGCUUUCACGGCUCUACGCGCACGCCAGUAUUUGCUGAGGAUUAAAUUUAUCUUAAGAAUUAGCCAUGGUUUAUAUAAAUAGUUUUGUAAUUAACUUAUCUUUAAUCCUCUUAAUCGGUAUUUUAAAUCUGAACAAAAUUUUAAUCCAGGACCAAAGAUAAAAAAACAUGGGUUUUGUUUGUCCUUUUAUUUAGAAGACGUGAAUUUUCCCCCUUAUAUACACGCCUCGUUUUCCAUGGUCACGAAAGGUGCCUCUUUAUCUAUACACACAUAUUCGAUGCCACGUUGAGGGUUGAUUCUAGGUAUCACGGACAAAGUAACAUUUUUAUAAUAAAUAUGUUAAGGGAGAUAAAUUUUAGAAGAUUUUUUUAUAAAUUUAAUUAAACUUAAAAAUUUAACUUAUUAUGAGAUACAUAAUUAUUUUAGGACGGAUGAAGUAUACAAUUUUUUUGUUCCCCUAACACUUCCAGGUUCAGGAGACCCUAUUAUCAAGAUCUCUAGGCUCGCCAAUUUCGAUAGACCAUUCUUCUUAACAGAACACCAAGCCCAAAAAAGGCACUACUCAACUCCACCGGUAGGAGAUUUAGAGCAUCUCCAAGAGCUUUCAGAAGUCUCUCCUAAAUCAAGUUUUUUGACAAAAACACAAAAACGUAUCUCCAACAGUUCCCCUAAACGCUCCCAAUUUUUUUUAGCCCUUAAAACUCUGUCAUUUGUAGCUAUAAAUGAGAGGGUUUUUAGGCUCCCCAGAAACAAUAUGUCACUUUAAGGAAUCUGUUAGAGAAAGGAUUAAAAUCUACCCUCACUAAUUUUUUAGAUGCCCCUUAAAACUAAUUUUGAGGAGUCAUUUUCUAGGAAGCUCUUGGAGAUGCUCUAACCCUGUUUGGUUUUUAGUCACCGACUAAACUUUAGUAGUCACUGAAAUAUCCUGUUUGAUUUCAGUAAUUAAAUCUAAGUAAAAUGCAUUAAUUAUUAAGUAUAAUGAUAGUUUUACUCUUAAUCAAUGCACAGGCUCCCGCUAUGAGUCAGUCUUGGUACUUGAGCCAAGGAAGGGUAAGAGAUGAAAAAUUCUACUUUUAGUUACUUUUAGUCAACAUUUCUUGAUUAGAGGACUAAAAUUUAGUCAAUUCUUUUUAGUCUUGCUGCUUGGUUUUUUAAUAACUAAAAGUGACUAAAGUUUAGAUGUUGUUUGGUUUUUAGAGACUAAUUUUAUAGUCUCUCUAUUUUAUUUCAUUUUAGUUACUAAAUUUUUAAAUGGGAACAUUAAAACCCUAUUUUAGUUUUAAGAAUUUAGAUACUAAAAUAAAAUAAAAUGGAGGGACUAAAAAUUAAUCCAUAGAAAUCAAACACUCCAUUAGUCAUUAAACUUUAGUCACUUUAAACUAAACGGGGACUUAGAUGACGCCUUCUCAAGAGACUUUUUAUGGUAUAAUGAUGCUUUAAGAGAGAUCAAGGUUACCCUGUCAUAACUAGCUUCUCUAACUCUCGUUAGAAUUGCAUAGGGAUCAUCUUCGGGUGAGGGCAUAGCCAGCGACAAAAUGCUUGGAAAACGUAAUGAUUUGGAUAAUAUUCAAAGUUAAGACUAAGGAUCCCUAGGACUAUGCUGUGUAUGGGUGUUGAUGGAUCAUAAUCCAAAUGUUUCUUCAUAAUAUGUUUGAACUCAUAAUUAAUUUUAGUUUAAAAUUAAGUAGAAAUAUAGUUUGAUUAUAGUUUUAUCCAAUCUUUAAAUUUUAUAGUGUAAAGUUUAAAUACAAUUAUCAUCCCUACCUUGCUGACUCCAACUAUCAUCAAUGAACGAUGCAUACCGACCCUAAUUCCCUUGCAAAUACAGUUCUGAUUUCCUAACGCGAAGGCCUUUUUAUAGUGCGCGAAACGGAUAUUCUUAUUUGUACUAGGUGAGUGCCCGUGCGUUGCAACGGGAAUAUAUAAUACAACGGUAACUUAUGUAUAAAUAUGUAUUAUGCUGAAAUGUAUGUUAUACUGUUAUAAGAAAAUGUUUUGUACGUUACAUAUAAUACCACGAUAACACAAGAACAUAUAAUACCACGAUAACUUAUGUGCAUUGCAACAGAAACAUAUAAUAUCACGAUAGUUUAUGUAUAAAUGUGUAUUAUAUUAAAAUGUGUGUUAUAUUUAGCAGUCUUAUCCUUCAAGUCCACCUAGAAAAUAUCAUACAUACAGCCAUUUCAAACAUCCAACAAGGGGAGCAGCAGGAGGCUUAACCAUCCCCUUCCUUAAUUCCAUAAGUUGUGGUGAGAAUUCCAAUGCCACACAACCUGUUGUACCGUGGAGAUUCGACCAGAGGAGAAGUUCAGAACAAAAAAUCAGCAUCCAACAUCGUGACCUAACUAAUUGCUAUGCAACUAAUUCAGAGUUUCAGACCAGUUUAGAUAUUCAGCCUGUGUGAUAACUGUUGAAACUUGUCCAAACCUUGAAAUCAACUAUGUCAAAACAAACCAUUUGACACCAGCUUUAUGCUCAAGGUUGGCAUUAAAUGUUUGAGCAGUAUAGCAAGUAGGGGAAGUGUCAUAGUUCUUUUGGGUCAUUCUUAUGUAGAAGAGUUUGCAAGCUGGGUUGCCUUGGACCACGAGAACAGGCAACCGUCAGACCUGUAAGAAAAGCCUUGGAGUCUUGGAGAUCAGAACACCGAACCAACGGCGAGCUGCUUUACAUACGCUUCGAAGCUACUUCAAUUGGUUUUAUCAAGCUCCCCUGAGGAGUCAUGCCCUCCAGAGGAGGCCUUCUUCCUUGCAAAUGAUCUUCUUGAUAUUGUGCCCGCUGUUGAGUCCUUUGCUGGCUCAAGAUUUGCACCCAGCAUAGUUUCUGCUCUGAAGCAAUGGCUGCCUGUGCUCUUGUUGGGUCUUGUAUGCCGGUGGCUAAUUGGAUCACAUAAUGAAAUGGCACCCAACGUAUUCCACUUUGCUGACUCUGUCUUACCACUGUGGGUCACUACCGUGGCAAAGAAUGAGCUUGUUGAUUCCAAAGAGCCUGGCCAGGACGAGCAAAGCAAUCUGACUGCAGAGGGCGAGGACUCACUGUUAUCCAGAAAGCUAGCAGAAAUGAUGGCGAUCCUCUUGAAGAAAGGAAGCCCCAGAAUCCUCGAUUGCGCGAGUGGAGUCCUUCUGUCCACUUUCCAGUUGACGCUGCGAAGAUCAGACUAUGACAUUGUCCUGGGCAUGACUCGUUUCAUUUGUGACAAGUUGCUUGGGAACAACUCCCUAGCAUUGGAAAAGUUGCAGCUUACCCGCGACUUUCUUCAUGAGAAUUUCCUCGAGAUUGAUAGGUAUGUCCGCGAUGAGCUUGUCCAUGAUGACGAUUCGAGGCAGCAACUGGAGAAAGCAAAAGCGUUGAUAAGAUCAGUUCUCACCGAUGUCUGAUUGAUGUACAUACCAGUUGUAAGCAACAAACCGAUAAGAUCAGUUUCCACCGGUGUCUGGAGAAAGCAAAAGCGCUGAUAGUACUACUUAGUUUUUUUAAGAAAAUGAUGUUGCUUAGGUAUAUAUAUCUCUUUAAGCAUGUAUAUUCGUUGAUGUCAUGGUACAGCCCAGGGGCUGAUUAGUAUCACGUUGUGUCAUUGUUCAACAAAGGCACUGCAGUGACCAUGUGUGAUUGGAUAGAAGAUCAUUUCCACUGACAAGUAGAGAUCAGAAAUGAACUGUUUGAAUCAACAAUCAAGCUAGAGUUAUAACUGCUGUUGCAUUCAAAUUUGCAGUCUACUUACAACUGACACAGGUACAAACUAUGUAACAAUCCCACGUUAUUGUAAUCCACCACAUGCCAUUUCAUAAUAGCAAAUGGACGCUAGUGUAUACAAGCCACAAGGUACUAUUUGUAAGGAAAAAAAUAAAAAUAAAUGGACGACUCAAUAUACAGUUUAGUAAUACGGGUAUAUUAAUGUCGCAGUCAAACAAAUCGUUUCUUCACAAAUUGGUGCUCUGCUCCUAUUCUUGUGGAUUAGGUAAGGUUACAGUAGUUAGCAGCUGGUGAAGCUGAUCUAUUGCUCUUAAUCUACAUGAUUAUGGUAUCCGGCCAUCGUCUUCGCGAGGUUCCACAGGAAUCAGUUUGAUGGCAGCAGCAAUGGGCAUCCCGAGGAGGCCAAAGAGAAUGCUGACGAGCCAUUGGAGAUGGGUGAGAGGCAUGGUGUUGGCAAAAUCUCCCAGGAACUGGACCAGGAUGAACUGGAAGAUAAUGGUGCCACCGAGGAUGCACAUGAAAAUGGAGUUCUGUGGCAAACCCUUCAAAACAUUGAUCUCCUCCAUGUCUCUCGAGCUUAUCUCAUUGAAAACCUACAUGGCAUGCAAAGAUUCAGCACCGGAGAGCCAUUUCAGAAAUAAAAAAAACCACACCAUUAUCCUCUCUUUCCAGCUCUAUCUGUUCUGUUUCUUGUCCUGUACUCUAGAAUGCUAAAUCAACGAAUGGCCUCUUCAUUUCUGCGAGUUGUUGGGGAAGAAAAUAUUAAAAAAAACUGUAAGGAAUGAAGUGGAAAACAAUAGAGGUUUUGUUACGAACUUACGAUGACCAAAUAGGAGGGUAGCAUGGUAUUAGAUUCAACAAAUGUGUCAGUUUCAGAUUUCAGAGUUAGCUGUUGCAUAGUCCUUUAGGCAGCUAGUUACUUCAAUAGAGUACGGAUUCAAGCCUAAGGAUGACUAUUUAUUUUACAUAUUGAACUUCAGCAGAACUCUUUCAUCACAGAAGUAUAAUUCAUGUCUUCCAUCUUUAGCAUUCAGCUUUGCAUCAAAGAUUUCAAGUGAAAGUGAACCCAAUGACAUAGUGGAUGCUACUUGUCAGCAAAUAAAACUUAUAAUAGAAAAAGCUCAUUAGACUUACUUUUUCUUGAGAAUUAUACGGUACAGGACACCAGUGCUGAUAAUAUUCAAGUUCUUCAGAAUAUGGUAAGAUGGUGCAUACACAUAUUCAAAGAUAUAAUACUGAUAACCACAGAAGCAGGGAAACAUGCUUAUGUUUUGCUUGUUUUUGUUUUUUUUAAUCAUACAACAGAAUGAGUGGGCAACUGGACAUACCUGCAAUAAGUUCUUGACCAGGUAAAGCAUUGCAGGAAUGGGGUAAACUCUAAAUGUCUAGAAGGUGGAAGAAGACAACAAGCACCUAAUAUGUACUAUCGACAAGCACGGUGAGCGGAAACCUGAGAAGAAGAAACAAGAUGCAGUCAGAAACACAAAAUAAUAUGAUUUGUACCUCAUGCCUAUGUCUAGCUGCUUAUUGUAGCUGUUCUAGUUUCUGUUGGUAAAAAAGGGCCCACUUUAACCAACUAAUUUCGUUUCAACAGCUAUAAAUAUGAAAAGCAUUAUUUACCUGAUAGUAAAUGUUAGUGCCCAUAAUGUAAUAGGAGAAAACUAAAAGCUUUAAUUAUUACAUAAUCCUCAUGGGAACCAGUGAACACAAAAACUUACUAUGUCUGGCUUGAUUAUAUCAUUUCACUCCUUUGUCUUGCUCUUCAUCUCCUUGGAAUUUGAAUCGGCAAGCUGCAGAACCAAAUGGAGUAGUUUAUAUGCAUAUGAUAUAUAGAACAUGUAAUGCACGUCUAUUGUGUACAUCUGUUUGAGCGCAUAACACAAAUAGACUUUUGUUUUCAGUCAAAGCAAUGACGAAUACCGUAGGUACAAAUGGUACCAUUCUUUUUAUAUUUCGAAGAAGAUGAUCAUUUGCAAUAUUUAAGGAAUAGUCAUGCCAUGCCAAACGCUGAAUCUGGAUGCUAAUCCAGCCUAUAUAACAAGAAAUAAAUAAGAAACGGAUGGAUGAAAAGAGAAUCCACAUUACCAAAAGAGAUUGUAAGGCAUCUGCAACAACUUCAGAAUGGCGUGCAGUGCAGUGCAUUCAAUCUCAAAUAAAAGCCCUGCUACAGUGCUAGCAACCUUCUCCCUCCGCUGCUCCGUCAAGGAAGGGGAGGAAGUGAAGCACAGAGAGAGAAAGAAAGGGGAGGGGAAUGGAGGUGGAGGAAGGCGGCCGAGCCGCCUGAGUGCUGCUGAGCUCCCAGUGUCUUUCGGCACCGCUCCUCCUACUGCACCGCUCCUCCUGCUCUGCCAUGCUCUCCGCCGUAUUCCUCACCCAGCCUUGCUCGCAGCUACUACUUUUUCUUGUUGUUGCUGCUUUCAGCACUGGUCUGGCUGGCGACUCUUGGCUGAGAAAGAUAAAAAAAACACUACCAGCCACCCCCAUCUCCCAUUGCUGCACCACCGUUCGCUACGUUGCGGCUGGAUGGACAUGGAUUCCCCCCCCCCCCCCGCCCGCUUCCAGAUCCCACAUGUUGCUUUUAGUGAGCUAGACGCUCUGCUGGAUUCUUGCCACUAUUAGCAAUGCCGUAUUCAUAGCAGUCAAACACAUCCACAUGUUUGCAAUUUCACGUACUGCAGCAAUAGAAAAAACUAAAACAGCUAGCAGUUAAAGCGAACCAAUACAAGAAACUUUAAUAAAAUACAUGUAGAUACAGACCAAGCGAGGUUAUUUGAAACGCUCUUGUGUGUAGCUCCAAUUGAAACAUUAUAAAUAUUUUUUUCUUGUUAUGAUGACUUGCAGGUCAUGUUGCCAUCAUUCACUCACAUUCUCAUGAUCACAUUAAAAAAAGAAUGACAGAAAGGCUAAGAGCAAAUGUCAUAUUUAUCUUCAUUUACAUUCACCAUCAAACAGAAAAUAUACGCUUUAUUUCAACUUGAAUCCCAUAUUCAGUACACAUUCCUAGUUGAAUAAUUUCUUAAGAAGCAGUUUACAAAACAAAAGAAAAAUAAGGUGUGAAUAUGUUUUUUAGUGUGUGAGGGAAGACAUAUCUAUGAUCUUCUUGUGAACUUGAUUAUGUUAGUGUCAUUUGAAACUGUUUUCAGAAACUACUCUACAUAGAACACUUCUUAUCUAGAACAGUUAGACAAUAUAUCAGGCAGAGAAAACAGUUAGACAAUAUAUCAGGCAGAGAAAACAGUUUCUCUUGGACAAAAUGAGCGCAGUUUCUAUAUAUCUACAACACUGCUUGUCUAGAACAAUUAAAUACCAAAAAUACUGAAACCUUAUUGAAACACUAAAAUACUGAAAUUGUACCUGACCAACAGAAAUUCAUAGGAAAAGAACAGUCUCACUACAGAUGUCUGAUAAUCAAGGUUUAGUGAUGCAAAUAGUGUAUACAAGAUUCGGACGUACCUGGCAGUAGUAUGAAGAGAUGCAUUUGUUAUGUAAUGUUUCUUGACAUUUUAUAUGCGUGAAUCUGUGUCGUCCGCCUUCAUCUUGCUCUAGAUCUAGGCGACGCUUGUUGGGCAGCGGCGUGGUGCCAGCCCGCACCACCGUGGAGGUGGGCAGCCAGCUCUGCUCCAUCCAGCAGUGGAGGAUGUCCGAUGUGUGGUGCGACACGUGCAGUGCCCACUGGUCAUCCACCUUCUGCUUAGCGUACACCUCCGCCGCUAGCUCCGACUUAAGUGCAACAAGAAAAAUCAUAGCCAACUGGCAAAAAAAAUGACAACGCUUCUAGAUCAGUUUGCCGUACACUGAAAACAAAUCAUGACAAUAAACGUGUAUGAUAUCGAAUUCAUCGUCACAGGAUCCAGCCAGCAAAAGUUGCAAUGCUACUCAGUAAACAAGGGUUCCGAAUGAAAAAAAAUAGGGGGUGGCAGUCAUACCCAGGAUCUUGCUCCACAAGCUCGCAGAUUUUGAUCUUCUUUUCCCAAUCCAUCUCCUUGAGCUUGCCACUCAUCGUCGCCUUCACCAUUUCUGUUCCAUCUUCUCCCCUAGGCCUUCUCACUGUCGAUCACAUCUAGGCCUGGUAUUCCACAACCACAUGGCGAGGAAAAGGGCAUGAAGAAAUCAAAAUUUAGUAACAUAAGACCAAGUAUUCAAAAUUGAGCUACUAAUUCUGUUGAAAAACAAACGAUAGAUUUACAGAAGGGUGCAACAUGUACCUGUUGUUUCCUACAAAAUAUAUAGAACGUUAAUAGUGGUCAAAAUAUACAUAUCAAAUCUUUGUCUAUAAUUCUAUGCAAGCAUGAUUACUGAAGACCGAUAGUUUCUCUAGGCAUAGUUUUUUUAAUUUGCUUCCGUACCAGUGAUUCACUAAAUAACACAGGAUUAUAGAAGACAACACCAGCUGUGAGUUACAGUAUACGUUUAACAGUUCAUAACCCUUCGCUUUUGUUCUACAAAUUACUACUAAAGCCAUUAUUGUCUUGCAAUUUCAGUCUUUCAGUGUUUUGACAUGAUACAUUGUGCAAGCAAACAGAGACAGACAAAAAUGGAGGCAAACCUGGAGUUUUCUGAGCGCGUUCCAAACAAGCAUUUCCCUAAACACCUAGUGGUCAUCCCUGUAGCGGAUGCAAGAAGAGAGCCUCAGAAGCGCACUGAGAUGGGCCUAGCCGCCUAGGCAAUACACACGGAAGAGGCACACAGCUCGCAGCCCCGCACACCCGAGACUUACUGAGAGAUUCAGAACACUAUCACAUACCUGCGCCGGCGCGCCACCACCGAAGACGAUGAGGAAGACACCACUGUGUGCUUGCGCACCGCUGCACCGUCGGCCGGACGCAUGUCGCUUGGCACCUGCGCACUGAUGCACCACUGGCCGGACGUGGUGGUUUGGGCCUUCAGGGUGGGGUGGGGGAGGCUAUCUCGAUCGGGGGCAUCAGGGGGGGCGAUGGCAGGCGCGUUGGGGCGAGCGGGGCGGGCGCGGGGGAGGGGAACGAGCGGAGAGGGGGCCAGCAUGGGAGCCGAGCACGACAUUGGUUCCAAGCAGCAACGUCGACACGCCAACGCACUGGAUCCCCAUGGUCUUGCCUCAACCCUCUUCCCCUUCCCCUACCGCGAGCUCCGCUUCAUGCCCCUUGAGGUAGGCCUCUGGGCUCCAGGGGAGGAGGCAUCCUUUAGGUGGCAAAGAUGGAGGAUUGCUGCUGCUGUUUUUGUACCCAGAUGGGGCUACACCAGCUGAAGCCAUCUCUGAAGAAAGCCAACGUGCAGCAACUCAGCUUUGCAUUAACUCCCCCGACGUAGCGCCGGCCCUGGCGGGGGUCGAGCAGUGCCCCCGACCAGGGCCCCCAUAUUAACGGGGCCUCAUUUUAGAUACUAAAAACAGUAUAUAUAUACAAAUAUAUAUAUAUAUAUAUCAUAUUUUAUAUAGAUCUAUAUAUUGGCUCUAUAAUUUUUUUUAAAAGUCUAAUCAUAAGUCAAAACACAGCAACAAUGAGUAAAGAGAAUUAAUUGUAGUCCAUUAAUCUUGACUUCAUAUAGUCUCAGGUCCAGCCGUCUAUGCUCUCAGUGUGUAGUGAAACAACGAUGUUUGCCAUUUCAUCUCUAUCUCUCGCACAGUCAUAGACAGACAGACAGUCGUGCCCUAUCCUCUUGGUAGCCAGCGCACGAGCAUCGAGUACUACGGCGCUUUCGUCCUGCUCUACACGGUGAAAACGAAACUAACAUGACCUGAUCGACUAAUCUAACAAUGUUCAUCCAUUUAAUCACUGUUCGAGGUAACCUUCUUUUGAGUUAUCUAGACAUAUAUAUAGGGCAUUUUUCUUCGAGAUGUUAGGCUAUAUUUUAAUUACCUUUUAUUUAAUAUAAAUACCUUUUUCAGAUAUACAUAAAUAUUUAUUGACAAUAUAUACACACUAUAUCUAAGUGUAAUAAUUAUUAUUAUAAAGGGCCUCCGAUAUGAGUCUUGUCCCGGGCCUCUAAAAUAUCAGGACCGGCACUGCCCCGACGGCAGUAGAUCUAUUGAGCUACCUGUAAGUGGAUUAACAAUCAAAUCGAUCAGAGCGAUGAUUCCAGAUAUAGCAAUGGCAGCAUCAUUCACAACAGCGGAGCUUUAAUGACUAACGAGGUGAACUUUGUUAACGAGUACAACCCGUCCCUCGAAUCUAGAUAAAUGUAAGGAACGUGAGCAAGUUCUUCCUAGGAUUGCAAACCCGGCUGAGUCAUGAGCCAGGCAGACAGCCGAGAGAAAGCAGAGCAGAGUCAGUCACCUAAGGAUUCAGAUGCUAUGUUCAUCAGCGAAAUAAAGUCUUGCCAGAACUCAAUGAUAUCAAGGAAUCGUGCUCCUGACUCUUGGAAAGUCAUAGGAAAUAAUCCUAAUCUAGGACCCCCUGUGAAUCUGUUCAGGGGCAUUUCCGAGCCUGUAACGAAGGGGAACAAGCAAAUCCACAAAGAAUUGACGGCUCGGGCACUAACUGAUGGAUUUCGGAUGAAAUCGUAUGCACCAAUAGAGAAGAGGAAGAGAGAAGUCGUGAGAUCCGCAGCAAACGCUACAGCCUCUAGGCUGACGAAAACUUGAACACAAACUCGGAGAAAGAGCGCAUCGUUCUCAGAGCGAAGCCGACCUCGCCAAGAACAGAGAAAACGCUCCAGAAACCAUAACUGGCCCGCGAGAAGAAAAGGCCGCGAACGGUCCGCGGCUCUCACCGGGGAAAAGGCAGAUCCCAGCGAGACGGACGACCAGAGAGCUCCCAGAAUCGGCAGCGGCGCACGCGAACAUGGACCAGGAACGCCCAUUCGCGGUCACAAACUACCAACAGCGAAGAACAGACAGAAAAAACAAACAGCCAAAUCAGGAGCAAGAACAGAUGGAUGCACACAUACCUCUACCCUCCUCCUGCUGCCCCCCUUCCUCCUCCACGAAAGAACUCUCUGUUACCCUUCAAGAUUUGGUUCCCCCUACUCUUCGCCCUCUCCCUCCUCCGAGGAUCCGACUCCAAGGCACAGGGACAACGACCCACGAUGAGCAGGUCGAACUUCUCGCUCAUGGCGCGCACCACGGACGCCGUGCCCUCCGCAUCCUCCACCGUCUUCUCCAUGUACACCACCCCGCUCGUUGUCCCCUCCAGAACUCCUGCAGCAGCUCCUCGUCCCUCGCCGAUCAACCGGUUAGCAGCCUGUGGCACACCAGGAACAUUCAUGGGGUCCAUCAACCGGUCGAUCAAGGGGCAUGGAGGAGGAGAAGGGAGUUUAGGGUUAAAGUUCAUGGGUUGUACCUGAUUGGAGACACGGUCGAGGGUCGCCCGGGCGGCCGCGUCGGGCACCUUGCGCAGGUCACACACCUCCAUCACCCACCGUCGCCGAAUCGCCGAUACACGCCAACACAGCGUGGAUUCAAAUGUGUUGAAGCCUAUGGCGGAUAAGCAAGCGGGCAGGAAGCUCGGCUCCUGUGGGUGGGGAUCGCAGGAGAUGUGAGAGGGACUGGAUGAAGGAACUACCGUGGAGGCGGGGCGACAGAGGGAGGACCGCGGUGAGGGGCCAGUGGGGGUGCGGGAGGCGGCGCAGCAGAGGGAGGGCUGCUCGCGCGGCGCGGAAGGCUGGGGGCGGCGUGGGCGGCGUGGGUGGACUGGGGGCGGCGUGGGUGGACAGGCAUGAACGGACGGUGCAGAUUCACAGAGGCUAACGGACGAUCCAGAUCUCCUGGAGGCAGAACGCAAAAAGGCAGGCUACCCUUAGAGCCUUAAUAAGUAGUAUAGAUUCAUAUUUAAUUGAAAGCAUAGGUUUCGAACGCGCUUCAUUCUAAUGCUAUGUUUGGAUCCUCCUGUUAAUUGUUUGUUAGUGGCUAACAAUUAGCCGGUGUAUGUUUGGAGUCUUAGCUAAUAGACAUCUAAAACACAGUAAAUAUCCUGUUUAGAGAAAGGAAAGAAACGAUCUAUUAGUACAUAUUAGCAAGGUUAAAUAGCUAAUGGGCAAACAAUUUGGCAGCCCUCUCGUUUAGAGUCCAAGGUGCUAAAAUUAGCUGACAAACAAUUUGCUAAAUGGAUUCAAACAGGCUCUAUGAAGUGCAAAAGCUUCAUUCAUUCUUUAAAAUAUACUAUAAAUAUGGUGCUAACUAUUAGAAAUAUACCCUAGAGAUAAUCAUAAAGAUAAGCAUAUUUCUUUGUAUCCAUAAUGUCGGUGUUUUGGACCCGCGAGGACCCUCAACCAACUAGUGAAUUUGUUGCUGCGUGUCCCUGCCCAGAUGGGUUGAUGCAAGAUGGAACACAAGCGGGGGGAAUGAGGCUUAUAUUACCUUGCACCGGGGUGCUCGUAGUAGGGGUUACAAGCGUCGUGAGAGAGAGAGGGAGAGAGAGAGAGUUCGAUCUUGUGGUGAGGUGCCUGAGCUGGCCUCCACCGCGUCUCUCCUACUCUGCCUGCCUCCGCUCGUCCCCUUCUCCCUGCGUGCGUGUGUGUUUUCUACGUCUCUCCGUUCGUCCCCCUCCUCUGUAGGAAGGCCCUGGACGUCCCCUUUUUAUAGAUACAAGGGGAUGGCCCAGCUGUACAAUGGGGUGUAGCUAUGUGCUAACGUGGCUGGCGGAGGAGUGCCUUGAGCCCUGCACGUGUGCUAACGUGACUGUCGGAGAAGUGCCUUGAGCCCUGUAGAAGCAUAGCUGGCGGUGCGGCAUAGAUCCUGCUGACAUUUCCUUGCUUCCGUAGGGGGUUGAGAGCAACCGACGUCAUGGGUGCACGCGGGGAACCAUCAUUACCUGUUACCGGAGUAACCUUAGAUGGGACACCGGUCUUGUUCCUUCAUAGCCUGAGGCAGCUAGCUAGGAGUAGGGUAAUGAUGUAUCCCCUAUAGCGUAGUCGGUCCGAGCCCGAGGUCGGGCGAGGCAGAGAUUUCUCCUGAGGCCGAGGUCGAGGUCGGGCGAGGAUGUGACUCCUCCCGAGGCCGAGGCCUAGGGUCGGGCCAGGCGGAGACCUUCUCCCGAGGCCGAGGCUGAGGCCGAGGCCUGAGGUCGGGCGAGGCGGAGCUCCCUGUUGCGCCCGAGGCUGAACUCGUGGGAGAUUGUGACUGUUUUACCCUGGUGGUUGGCACAGUAGUCGGAACGGGGUGAAUAGCGUUGUUUUCCUGUCAGAACGGUCAGUAAAGGGGCGAAGUGACUGCGGUCACUUCGACCUGGCCGACUGAAGCGCGCGUGUCAGGAUAAGGUGUCAGGCGAUCCCCGCAUUAAAUGCGCAUGCGAUACGGUCGGUUGGUAAGGCGAUUUGGUUGAGGUCGCUGCACGACAAAGUCUGCCCGAGCUGGGCUUCGGGCGAGCCGAGGGUGCGCCCACUGCCUGAGGAGGCCCUCGGGCGAGGCGUGAAUUCAUCCGGGACUACUGUUCCCGCCCGAGGCUGGGCUCGGAUGAGGUCGCGUCCCUCGGUAGACGUGGUCUUGACUUGAACCGCGCUUUAUUAGCCAUGUAUGGUUUGUUCUGAAGAUGUUUUCCAGCCGGAUUAAGGAGCAUUGGGGGUACCCCUAAUUACGGUCCCCGACAGUAGCCCCCGAGCCUCAAAGGGAGUGUAGGUACUCGCUUUGAGGUUCUACCGGAUUUUUUGCAAGGGGACCAGCCCUUCUCGGUCGUAUUUUGUUCCGAUGGGUGCGCGCGAACGCACCCGUCGGGUGUAGCCCUCGAGGCCUCGGAGGAGUGGUUUGACUCCUCUGGGGUCUUAAUUCUUUUCGUGUUGCCUCGGUCAGCCUUGUUGUUCCCUCAUGCGGCCUGGCCGUAGCCCGGGUGCAUGGUCAGGCUCUGAGUUUUUAAGCUGGUUUGUUGAUGUGGUCAACGGUUUGGCCGUAGCCUGGUGCGAGAGCAGCCCCCGAGCCUCUGCAUGGAGCGAGAGGACGAUCAAGGACCAUCUCGACUUUUAUUGUACGGCCCUUCGUCGCCUCUCUGCAAGGAGGAAGGGGGGGAGCGCCAUGUUACCCUCGGAGGGCACCGAACAUGGUGUUUCCAGUGAGUUGCUAGCGGGUGAUCCGAGUGGACGCCCGAGCCCCGUUCGAUAAGGGUCGGCUAGUGGCCCAGAGGCGCGCUCCAAAAGUACGUGCAGGUGAUUUGCUAGACCCGGACCCAUUCGAUAGGGUUCGAGGGCUCGAUGCCUCCUCCGGUGGGAUUCCUGAAAGGGAAUUAGGCUUACACCUAUUUCCUAAAUGAUUUUGGUGGUUGAAUUGUCCAACACAAAUAAUUGGACUAACUAGUUUGCUCUAGUGAAUAAGUUAUACAGGUGCUAAAGGUUCACACUUAGCUAAUAAAAAGACCAAGAAUUGGGUUCAAACAAAGGAGCAAGGGAUAACCGAAGGCAGCCCUGGUCUGGUGCACCGGACUGUCCGGUGCACCACCGGACAGUGUCCGGUGCACCAGGGAACUCCAAGCUGAACUUCGCACCUUCGGGAAUUCUCAGAGCCGGCGCGCUAUAAUUCACCGGACUGUCCGGUGUACACCAGACAGUGUCCGGUGCUCCAAGAGGACGCGGCUCUGAACUCGCCAGCUUCGGGAAUUCGCAUCGCCUGCUCCGCUAUAAUUCACCGGACAUGUCCGGUGUACACCGGACUGUCCGGUGUAACUGCGGGGCAACGACUACUUCAGGCGCCAACGGCUACCUGCAGCGCAUUAAAUGCACGCCAGCGCGCGCAGAAGUCAGGCACGCCCAUGCUGGCGCACCGAACAAUCCACAGUGCAUGUCCGGUGCGCCAUCGGACAUCCAGGCGGGCCCAGCAGUCAGAGCUCCAACGGUCGGAACCCUAACGGUCUGGUGACGUGGCUGUCGCACCGGACAUGUCCGGUGUGCACCGGACUGUCCGGUGCACCAUGCGACAGACAGCCCCACCAAACGGCUAGUUUGGUGGUUGGGGCUAUAAAUACCCCCAACCACCCAACAUUCAAGUCAUCCAAGUUUUCCUACUUCAACCACUUACAAGAGCUCUAGCAUUCAAUUCUAGACACACCCAAGUGAUCAAAUCCUCUCCAAAUUCCACACAACGCUUUAGUGAUUAGUGAGAGAGAUUUGCUUGUGUUCUUUCGAGCUCUUGCGCUUGGAUUGCUUUCUUCUUUCUUUGACUCUUCAUUGCGAUCAAACUCACUUGUAAUUGAGGCAAGAGACACCAAUCUUGUGGUGGUCCUUGUGGGAACUUUGUGUUCCAAGUGAUUGAGAAGAAAAGCUCACUCGGUCCGAGGGAUCGUUUGAGAGAGGGAAAGGGUUGAAAGAGACCCGGUCUUUGUGACCACCUCAACGGGGAGUAGGUUUGCAAGAACCGAACCUCGGUAAAACAAAUCCACGUGUCUCACUCCUUAUUCGCUUGCGAUUUGUUUUGCACCCUCUCUCGCGGACUCGAUUAUAUUUCUAACGCUAACCUGGCUUGUAGUUGUGAUUAUUUUUGAGAAUUUCAGUUUCACCCUAUUCACCCCCCCUCUAGGCGACUUUCAAUUGGUAUCAGAGCCCGGUGCUUCAUUAGAGCCUAACCGCUCGAAGUGAUGUCGGGAGAACUCGCCAAGAGGGAAAUGGAGACCGGCGACAAGCCCGCUACAAGCCACCGGUCAACUUCAUCGGAAGAGUCCCGCAACAAGAGGAAGGAGAAGAAAAACUCCUCCAACAAAGGGAAGGAAAAGAAAUCCUCUUCCCACAAGUCGGAUCGGAGAGACAACAAACACAAGAGGAUGAGGAAAGUGGUCUACUACGAGACCGACUCUUCAUCACCAUCGACCUCCGACUCCGAUGCACCGUCCGUUACUUCUAAGCGCCAAGAGCGCAAGAAGUAUAGUAAGAUUCCUCUACGCUAUCCCCAUGUUUCAAAACGUACUCCUUUGCUCUCCGUUCCAUUAGGCAAACCACCGGUUUUUGACGGUGAAGAUUAUAAUAUGUGGAGUGACAAAAUGAGGCAUCAUCUAACCUCACUCCACACAAGCAUAUGGAAUGUUGUUGAGUUUGGUGUACAGGUACCAUCCGUAGGGGAUGAAGACUACGACUCGGACGAGGCGGCCCAAAUUCACCACUUUAACUCCCAAGCCACUACUAUACUCCUCGCCUCUCUAAGUCGAGAGGAGUAUAAUAAGGUGCAAGGGUUAAAAAGUGCGAAGGAAAUUUGGGACGUACUCAAGAACACGCACGAGGGAGACGAGGUGACAAAGAUCACCAAGAGGGAGAUGAUCGAGGGGGAGCUCGGUCGAUUCAUGCUUCACCAAGGGGAGGAUCCACAAGCUAUGUACAACCGCUUGAAGACCUUGGUGAACCAAGUGCGCAACCUCGGGAGCGAAAAAUGGGAUGACCAUGAGAUGGUCAAGGUUAUUCUUAGAUCCCUCGUAUUUCUUAACCCUACACAAGUUCAAUUAAUUCGAGGUGAUCCUAGAUAUAAACUAAUGUCUCCCGAGGAGGUUAUAGGAAAAUUUGUGAGCUUUGAGCUAAUGAUUAAAGGCUCAAAGAAAAUCAUCGAGCAAGGCACCUCCUCCACACCCGAGGCACAACCUGUCGCAUUCAAGGCAACGGAAGAAAAGAAGGAGGAGGCUACUCCAAGUCGAACACCCAUCGACGCCUCCAAGCUCGACAACGAGGAUAUGGCGCUCAUCAUCAAGAGCUUCCGUCAAAUCCUCAAGCAAAGGAGAGGGAAAGACUACAAGCCCCGCUCCAAGAAUGUGUGCUACAAAUGUGGUAAGCCCGGUCAUUUCAUUGCUAAAUGUCCAUUAUCUAGUGAUAGUGACAAGGGCGACGACAAGAAGGGGAGAAGAAAGGAGAAGAAGAGGUACUACAAGAAGAAGGGCGGCGAUGCCCAUGUUUGUCGGGAGUGGAACUCCGAUGAAAGCUCUAGCGACUCCUCCGACGACAAGGACGCCGCCAACAUCGCCGUCACCAAAGGCCUUCUCUUCCCCAACGUCGGCCACAAGUGCCUCAUGGCAAAGGACGGCAAAAAGAAGAAGGUUAAAUCUAAAUCCUCCACUAGAUAUGAGUCUUCUAGUGAUGAAAAUGCUAGUGAUGAGGAAGAUAACUUACGCACUCUUUUUGCCAACCUCAACAUGCAACAAAAAGAGAAACUUAAUGAAUUGGUUAGUGCUAUUCAUGAGAAGGAUGAUCUCUUGGACACCCAAGAGGACUUCCUUAUUAAAGAAAAUAAGAAGCAUGUUAAGGUCAAAAAUGCUUACGCUCUAGAAGUAGAGAAAUGUGAAAAACUUUCUAGUGAGCUAAGCUCUUGUCAUGAAACUAUUGACAACCUUAGAAAUAAAAAUGCCAAUUUAUUAGCUAAAGUUGAUUCUCAUGUUUGUAAUGUUUCAAUUACCAAUCCUAGAAAUAAUGAUGAUGAUCUACUUGCUAGGAUUGAAGAAUUGAACAUUUCCCUUGCUAGCCUUAAAGUUGAAAAUGAGAAAUUGCUUGCUAAGGCUAAAGAUUUUGAUGUCUGCAAUGUUACUAUUUCUAACCUUAGAAGUGAAAACGAUAUAUUACAUGCUAAGGUUGUAGAAUUAAAAUCUUGCAAACCCUCUACAUCUAUCGUUGAGCAUGUAUCUAUUUGUACUAGAUGUAGAGAUGUUGAUAUUAAUGCUAUUCAUGAUCACAUGUCUUUGAUUAAACAACAAAAUGAUCAUAUAGCAAAAUUAGAUGCUAAAAUUGCCGAGCAUAACUUAGAAAAUGAAAAUUUUAAAUUUGCUCGUAUUAUGCUUUAUAAUGGGAGACACCCUGGCAUCAAGGAUGGCAUUGGCUUCCAAAGGGGAGACAAUGUCAAACUUAAUGCCCCUCCUAAAAGAUUGUCUAAUUUUGUAAAGGGCAAGGCUCCCAUGCCUCAGGAUAACGAGGGUUACAUUUUGUACCCUGCCGGUUAUCCCGAGAGCAAAAUUAGGAGGAUUCACUCUAAGAAGUCUCACUCUGGCCCUGUUGGGGACUUGUUCUCAAAUGCUAUGAGUCAAGAACAAGGCAACAUAGAAAAUGUUAAUCGGUAAAGUCCUUCGUCCUUCGAAGCAUUAUUCCCCUUAGGAUAUAAUGGUUUUCGGACGAAGGUUAUGAAGGGCGUACCUUCAUAAAUACAUUAUACAAUGACGAAGGAUGAAUUGUAAGGAAUAUAAAGGACAACAUAAACAAUUAUAUAUUACUAUUAUGUAUAAACAGAAAUAACGUUGGAUUACAAAUGUACCUUCAACUUGAAGGAGAUGAAAGUACAAGCGUGACGCAAAAGCGAAUGCCAAAUCAGCGUGAACAGUACGGGGGUACUGUUCACCUAUUUAUAGGCACGGGACACAGCCCAUACAAAAUUACAUUCAUACCCUUUACAUUUGAUAAUAAUUCUAUAGUAGUCUAUCGAGGUCUGAAUAGCCUUUUCAUCUCUAAGUCGGUUUCAUUUUCUGCUACCACGCCGAAGCUUUCCUGCUCACAUCUUCGGCGCUGUAUCGACCUUCGUAUUAUUCUGGUCUUCUUCUGUCGCGAUACCGACUUGAGUCCGAAGAUACCUGCUCACACAUUAUACUCCAGAAAUACUGUUAAAUCCUGUUUUUGAGGACCUUCGUAAGCCGAAGGCCCCCAACAAAUAAAGUCUAACCAUCAAGGAAGGAUCAGCCUUGCCUCGGCAAAGCCCUACCCUCCCUCGGGGGCUAGAAGUGGGGAACCCCCUCUGCAUCAAAAUUUUCCUCCGAAAAGUUUUCUACCAAAACGACUUUCGUGCUUUUCGACUCAUAUCGAUAACAGAAUCCUAAAAAGGACGAGAGGAACCUUAAACGGCAAGGCCGACCGAACCGAGGGACUCCUACGCCUCCGGGAUACGGAUACCUCACUCAUCACCUUCCGCGAAAAGUAACUCACGCUCGGAUAAGCGAUUCUGCUACCGAACAAGUCCUAACGCUCGAAAACUUUUCUACCAAAACGAAUUUCGUGCUUUUCGACUAUAUUGAUAACGGAAUCCUCAAAACGACGAGAGAACACGUAAGCAGCAAGGCCGACCGAGCCGAGGGACUCCUACGCCUCCAGGAUACGGAUACCUCACUCAUCACCUUCCAUGAAAAGUAACUCACGCUCGGAUAAGUGAUUCCGCUACCGAACAAGUCCUAACGCACGAAACAAGAGGAAAGAAAACGCAGCUUUAUAAUUCGACAAUUAAAAUGUUUAGGCCCCAACGGUCGCAAAAAACAUACGCAUACUUAAAACAAACUGUUCCUGCAGGCUCAGACAUUGGCAGGGGGAGGAGCAGCACGCUCGGCGUCAUUUCCACCCUCGGCAGAAUCUGGCCCGGCCUCGGACGGCGACACGGGCGGAAGGAUCUCCACCUCAAAGGAGGAAGCCAGCGCCGUGCUUGGGCCCUCGACAGCCGCGUCAAGCCUCUGGACCUCGGCUAAGGCAGCCUCCUCUUCGUCGGGUAAGCAGUACCCCUCGCUGACCCGCUCCAGAUCCACGUCGUAGUGGGAAGCAAGCACGGCGAAGGCCCGCCUAACGUCGUGGUGCAGCGCCCCGCGGAGUCUGCUGCGCACAUGGCCGCCCAAGGCCCACAGAUGACUCUGGGGGGGGAGCUACCCGAGGGGACGCCGUCGAGGCCGAAGGCCUGGCAAAAGGCCGAGAUAGCCUCGGACAUGGCCGCACGGUCGGCCUCCUUCUGCUCAGCCGCCUGGGCAAGCACCUUGCAGCUCUUGACGGACUCGUUAAGAGCCAUCUCGAACCCUGCAGACAGCAGGACAACAUUCUUCAGAUGCAAGGAGAAGAAUGGAGACAUAAACAAAGUCACAGAGCGGGCAAAACAAACCUUUGGCCCGGGCACGCUGCUGUGAGGCCAUGGCUCGGGCAGACCGGGCAGACCCGACGACCACAGCCAGGCCCUCCGCAAGGGUCCCAGCCCGAGCAGUCGCCUCGGGUCUAGAAAGGGGGUUCCCCCCUUCUUGGCGCCCACUCCAGGGUUCCCACCCUACGACACGGGGGCUAGGUCCCACACGUCAUGCGAGCUGACCCGAAACGCGAAGAAGGCAAACCGCCUCACGCGAAGCACGCAACCGCCCCGCAGUUAUAAGCAUUCCCUCAUCCUCACCGAAACCAGCGGUCGAAAGGGCGGACCGCCGCGCAAGAAGCAUGCAACCGCACUACGGUUGUGCACCCUUUUAGCUUCGUCGCAUCCGACGGUCCAGCAUGGGGCCCCGGUCCCACAUGUCAUGUAACCGGUGCUCCGGUUGCUACGUGCAAGGAAACCACACCGCCACUUGCGCCAAUGCCACGUCUUCUCGAAUGCAGAACCAGUGCAGCGAUUCGAGGCAGUCCCGCGCGUGACCCAACAGUGCCAAUUAAGUGAAACGAUCACGGGUCAGUCAGCCGCGGAGAUAGGCACGACGAUCGAUAUGAUCAGAGGCGGGCCGGCAGUAAUUGCAGCAACAGACGUGCGGAAGCAGCGGUCCAAUCACCUACAGGCUCGCAUCCUCUCCCGAAGCGGCAGGGGAGCCCUCUCCCACGGCAUAAAGACGACGCACCCGUGUUCCGUUCCUCGAACGACUCGUGCAUGCGCAACAGACGCCCCGCGAAUCGCCCAUCCCGUCGCAUUAACUUUUUGGUAGGCAAGCGACACCUCCGGCAGGCGAAGCGGGCGCCGUUUCACCUCCGUCAUGAUGACCGCGUCAAAAAAGGUGCGCCACAUUAUUCAAAUUCAUAUCCUUUUUCUUUUCCUCUCUCUCUCUCUCUCUUGCCACAGGGACCGGAAAAGGGGAUAUUUCGAAAAAGGAUCCUUCUAAGCGAAGGAAACAGGCCCCGAGCCCUCCUACUAAUCAGGGGUUCGAAGGUUGCGCCCUUCGGGGUUUGGCAACCGCCCCAGAGCAUUCGGGCUUUGAGCCCUCUACUGAUAAGGGGUUCGAAGGCUGGCCCUCGGAAGUUUUUGAUAGCCACCCCAGAGCACGCAGAGUCAGGGAUGACCCUGGGUACGUCUGUUACAUGGCCGAGGCUCGGGCUACGCUCCCGAGGUUUCCUAGGACAUUUCCGAGACCAACGGGAACAAUUUGUAAUGGAAUUGAAAGUCGCCUAGAGGGGGGUGAAUAGGGCGAAACUGAAAUUCUCAAAAAUAAUCACAACUACAAGCCGGGUUAGCGUUAGAAAUAUAAUCAAGUCCGCGAGAGAGGGUGCAAAACAAAUCGCAAGCGAAUAAGGAGUGAGACACGUGGAUUUGUUUUACCGAGGUUCGGUUCUUGCAAACCUACUCCCCGUUGAUGUGGUCACAAAGACCGGGUCUCUUUCAACCCUUUCCCUCUCUCAAACGGUCCCUCGGACCGAGUGAACUUUUCUUCUCAAUCACUUGGAACACAAAGUUCCCACAAGGACCACCACAAGAUUGGUGUCUCUUGCCUCAAUUACAAGUGAGUUUGAUCGCAAUGAAGAGUCAAAGAAAGAAGAAAGCAAUCCAAGCGCAAGAGCUCGAAAGAACACAAGCAAAUCUCUCUCACUAAUCACUAAAGCGUUGUGUGGAAUUUGGAGAGGAUUUGAUCACUUGGGUGUGUCUAGAAUUGAAUGCUAGAGCUCUUGUAAGUGGUUGAAGUAGGAAAACUUGGAUGACUUAAAUGUGGGGUGGUUGGGGGUAUUUAUAGCCCCAACCACCAAACUAGCCGUUUGGUGGGGCUGUCUGUCGCAUGGUGCACCGGACAGUCCGGUGCACACCGGACAUGUCCGGUGCGACAGCCACGUCACCAGGGCGUUAGGGUUCCGACCGUUGGAGCUCUGACUGCUGGGCCCGCCUGGAUGUCCGGUGGCGCACCGGACAUGCACUGUGGAUUGUCCGGUGCGCCAGCAUGGGCGUGCCUGACUUCUGCGCGCGCUGGCGCGCAUUUAAUGCGCUGCAGGUAGCCGUUGGCGCCUGAAGUAGCCGUUGCCCCGCAGUUACACCGGACAGUCUGGUGUACACCGGACAGUCCGGUGUACACCGGACAUGUCCGGUGAAUUAUAGCGAAGCAGCCGAUGCGAAUUCCCGAAGCUGGCGAGUUCAGAGCCGCGUCCUCUUGGAGCACCGGACACUGUCCGGUGUACACCGGACAGUCCGGUGAAUUAUAGCGCGCCGGCUUUGAGAAUUCCCGAAGGUGCGAAGUUUAGCUUGGAGUUCCCUGGUGCACCGGACACUGUCCGGUGGCACACCGGACAGUCCGGUGCGCCAGACCAGGGCUGCCUUCGGUUAUCCCUUGCUCCUUUGUUUGAACCCAAUUCUUAGUCUUUUUAUUGGCUAAGUGUGAACCUUUAGCACCUGUAUAACUUAUUCACUAGAGCAAACUAGUUAGUCCAAUUAUUUGUGUUGGACAAUUCAACCACCAAAAUCAUUUAGGAAAUAGGUGUAAGCCUAAUUCCCUUUCAAUCUCCCCCUUUUUGGUGAUUGAUGCCAACACAACCCAAAGCAAAUAUAGAAGUGCAUAAUUGAACUAGCUUGCAUAAUGUAAGUGCAAAGGUUGCUUGGAAUUGAGCCAAUAUAAAUACUUAUAAGAUAUGCAUGGAUUGUUUCUUCAUUUUUAACAUUUUGGACCACGUUUGCACCACAUGUUUUGUUUUUGCAAUUUCUUUUGUAAAUCCUUUUCAAAGUUCUUUUACAAAUAGUCAAAGGUAAAUGAAUAAGAUUUAGCGAAACAUUUUCAAGAUUUGAAAUUUUCUCCCCCUGUUUCAAAUGCUUUCCUUUGACUAAACAAAACUCCCCCUAAAUGAAAUUUUCCUCUUAGUGUUCAAGAGGGUUUUAGGAUAUUGAUUUUGAAAAUACUAUUCUUCUCCCUCUUUUGAACACAAUAAGAUACCAAUUUGAAAUUUAUCAAUUGAUAAUCAUACCAAUUGAAAAACUCUUUUAAAAUUAGGUGGUGGUGCGGUCC
rnacentral:lncRNA from 1 species